rnacentral:rRNA from 1 species
AUUGAACGCUGGCGGCAUGCUUUACACAUGCAAGUCGAACGGUAACAGGCCGCAAGGUGCUGACGAGUGGCGAACGGGUGAGUAAUGCAUCGGAACGUGCCCAGUCGUGGGGGAUAACGCAGCGAAAGCUGCGCUAAUACCGCAUACGAUCUAUGGAUGAAAGCGGGGGACCGUAAGGCCUCGCGCGAUUGGAGCGGCCGAUGUCAGAUUAGGUAGUUGGUGAGGUAAAGGCUCACCAAGCCAACGAUCUGUAGCUGGUCUGAGAGGACGACCAGCAACACUGGGACUGAGACAAGGCACAGACUCCUACGGGAGGCAGCAGUGGGGAAUUUUGGACAAUGGGCGCAAGCCUGAUCCAGCAAUGCCGCGUGCAGGAAGAAGGCCUUCGGGUUGUAAAGCACUUUUGACCGGAAAGAAAUGGCUCUGGUUAAUACCUGGGGUCGAUGACGGUACCGGAAGAAUAAGGACCGGCUAACUACGUGCCAGCCGCCGCCGUAA